UCCGAUAUACUAGAGAUGGUGAGUCUGAUUUGCCUAAGAAGUUGUCUGGCAGUGUUGUGAUAUCUCUCUAAUGUCCAUUCAAGUACUUGAUGAAUAGGUGUUGCACCAUAUUUGAGGGUAAGAUUGCCUAUAUCCAUGACUAAGCUUUCUUCAUUUUAGUACUAUUGAACCAUAUAUUUAUUUGGCUUAGUUUGUCUUUGCAAAUUUUGAUCGAACUACUAUUUAGCUACUCCACUGAUUUUAAAUUAUCUUGAAGUAAAAAAUGUAAGGUAGGCCAGUCUUUUGUUUGCCGAAAUUAUUCCUUUUACUAAGUAAUCAAGUUGGGUUUGCUACUGUUGUUUGUAACAUUCAACUAGCCUCAUCGUUAUGGAAGAGGGGUUAGUGGAUUAAGGACAGACGUGGUUGGGGCUUUAUUAAUUUAAAGACAAGCAGAACUUGUGCUUUCAUUCUAACUUUAUUGCCACAUUAAUGCAAUUUGAUCUCAGAUAUCCCUUGUGUUGCAGAUAUCUGAUGAUUUUUUAUCUAGCGGCUCUGUUUAUCUUCACUUGAGAUAACAUAAGGAUGUAAUUGGCCCAGUAUACAACCAAGGGUGGUUAGAUAUUUCUGAUUCAUUAGCAAAGUCCUAAAUGGACAAGGAUAUUGCAACAUUUUCUUUGUUCGAAUGUAUUAGUUAUGGUCACACUGAACAAAAGAGAGACCGAUACAUGUUCAAUGCAAUGCUUAUAAGAAAGGGACAUCAUAC
rnacentral:lncRNA from 1 species